UUGUGAAGUCGGAACAAGGUAGCCGUAGGGGAACCUGCGGCUGGAUCACCUCCUUAACGAUAUUAUCUAAUUGGCAAGAAUUCACAACAAGUUGUUCUUUGGUAAGAUGUUUAAAACGGGUCUAUAGCUCAGUUGGUUAGAGCACCGUGUUGAUAACGCGGGGGUCAUAAGUUCAAGUCUUAUUAGACCCACCAUUUAUGGGGCCAUAGCUCAGUUGGUAGAGCGCCUGCCUUGCACGCAGGAGGUCAGGAGUUCGACUCUCCUUGGCUCCACCAAACAAACAUUGGAUCCUUAAAAAGCAUACAUAAGCAAUUUAAAUAAGAUUACUUAUUUAUGCUUUAACUUAUAAACCGAUGAGGUUUAUAUCAUUAUUUAACAACAUGAUUAUGAGUCUGGGUAAUUUAUUUAAUUCCAACAAAUAAAUUACCAUGGUAAGUACACCCCAAAAUGUACUUACCUAAAGUAAAGAGAACUGAAUCAAGCGUAAACAUAGGUGAAUCGUUACACAUUACCCAUACAUUAAAGACCCUUUGGGGUUGUAUGGUCAAGUAAUGAAGUGCACAUGGUGGAUGCCUUGGCAGUCAGAGGCGAUGAAAGACGUGAUAGCCUGCGAUAAGCGUCGGUAACA
rnacentral:misc_RNA from 1 species